UACGAAGGGGGCUAGCGUUGCUCGGAAUGACUGGGCGUAAAGGGCGCGUAGGCGGUUUGUACAGUCAGAUGUGAAAUUCCUGGGCUCAACCUGGGGGCUGCAUUUGAUACGUAUGGACUGGAGUGAGGAAGAGGGUCGUGGAAUUCCCAGUGUAGAGGUGAAAUUCGUAGAUAUUGGGAAGAACACCGGUGGCGAAGGCGGCGACCUGGUCCUUUACUGAGCUGAGGCGCGAAAGCGUGGGGAGCAAACAGG
rnacentral:rRNA from 1 species